rnacentral:rRNA from 1 species
UACGUAGGGACCAAGCGUUGUUCGGAUUUAUUGGGCGUAAAGGGCUCGUAGGCGGCAAUUCAAGUCAGUUGUGAAAUCUCUGAGCUUAACUCAGAACGGUCAACUGAUACUGCUUUGCUAGAGUACAGAAGGGGCAAUCGGAAUUCUUGGUGUAGCGGUGAAAUGCGUAGAUAUCAAGAGGAACACCUGAGGUGAAGACGGGUUGCUGGGUCUGCACUGACACUGAGGGACGAAAGCUAGGGGAGCGAAAGGG